rnacentral:rRNA from 1 species
UACGGAGGGUGCAAGCGUUAUCCGGAUUCACUGGGUUUAAAGGGUGCGUAGGCGGGCAGGUAAGUCAGUGGUGAAAUCCUAGAGCUUAACUCUAGAACUGCCAUUGAUACUAUCUGUCUUGAAUAUCGUUGAGGUUGGCGGAAUAUAUCAUGUAGCGGUGAAAUGCAUAGAUAUGAUAUAGAACACCGAUUGCGAAGGCAGCUAACUAAGCGAUUAUUGACGCUGAGGCACGAAAGCGUGGGGAUCAAACAGG